UACGUAGGGGGCUAGCGUUGUCCGGAUUUAUUGGGCGUAAAGAGCGUGUAGGCGGCCAGGUAGGUCUGGUGUGAAAACUCGAGGCUUAACCUCGAGAUGUCAUCGGAAACCAUUUGGCUAGAGUCCGGAAGAGGAGAGUGGAAUUCCUGGUGUAGCGGUGAAAUGCGUAGAUAUCUGGAGGAACACCGGUGGCGAAGGCGGCAUCCUGGACCAACACUGACGCUGAGUGAGCGAAAGCCAGGGGAGCAAACGGG
rnacentral:rRNA from 1 species